rnacentral:lncRNA from 1 species
UUUUGCAUAAAAAAUGCCUGGCCUUACUAUUGGAGACACUAUUCCUGAUCUUCAAGUUGAUACAACUCAAGGCAAGAUCAAACUCCAUCAAUUCUGUUCUGAUACAUGGACCAUUCUCUUCUCUCAUCCAGGUGAUUUCACCCCAGUUUGUACCACGGAACUUGGUAAAAUGGCUCAGUAUGCUUCUGAAUUUUAUAAAAGAGGAGUUUUGCUAGUAGGUUUGUCUUGUGAUGACUUGGAAUCACACAAGGAGUGGAUCAAAGACAUUGAAGCCCACACUGUGAGUCAUUACUUGCACACUAAAAUUAUAUUUAUGUUUCUAAUUGUGUAAAUUUAUUUUUACUGAAUUAUUUUUUAAAAUUGACUUUGGUUGAAAGUGACUUGUCUAAUAUUAUUUUAACAAUUCCUUCAUAUGUUUGUAGCAGAUAAAUUAUCAACUUCAUACUAUUUUAUUAAUAAUUCUCUUAUAUUUUUUGAUCCAAUAACAACUUCUUUUAUUGUUUUUCUUUGAAUUUUAAAAUACAUUAAAUUUUAAUUAACCAUACUAACAAUUAGAGGUAACAUUAAAGGCACAAAAUAAAAUAGAUGCUCCUUUUUAAAUAAUGUAUAGAUUACAAAUUGCAUGAUCCGUUGUAGUCUAGUUGGUCAGGAUAUUCGGCUCUCACCCGAAAGACCCGGGUUCAAGUCCCGGCAACGGAAUUUGUUUUUAUUUAUAAUUGUUUUCCCUUUUUCAAACUUGAAAAACAGAAACAAUUAUGACGUGAAAAAGUGGAAAGGUCAAAAGUAGGAGCAUACGUGGUCGUAAAUGUAAGCAACAGCAGGGUGCAGGUUGAUAAUCACACCCACUAACUUGCCACGUUCUGUUCAUGCAAACAACUGCUCUCUCUUUAUAAGCACUCAUUCUGUAACACCGGUUUCAAAAUCAUUCUCAAAUUCAAUACUUUUGCAUAAAAAAUGCCUGGCCUUACUAUUGGAGACACUAUUCCUGAUCUUCAAGUUGAUACAACUCAAGGCAAGAUCAAACUCCAUCAAUUCUGUUCUGAUACAUGGACCAUUCUCUUCUCUCAUCCAGGUGAUUUCACCCCAGUUUGUACCACGGAACUUGGUAAAAUGGCUCAGUAUGCUUCUGAAUUUUAUAAAAGAGGAGUUUUGCUAGUAGGUUUGUCUUGUGAUGACUUGGAAUCACACAAGGAGUGGAUCAAAGACAUUGAAGCCCACACUGUGAGUCAUUACUUGCACACUAAAAUUAUAUUUAUGUUUCUAAUUGUGUAAAUUUAUUUUUACUGAAUUAUUUUUUAAAAUUGACUUUGGUUGAAAGUGACUUGAUGGAAAAGUUAUCAAAAUUAUGUGAGUGAAUGUUUGUAAAUAUGGUGUAUCAAUAAAAUGUAAUGUAAAAAAAUGUGUAAUUACAGCCAGGGGCAAAGGUGAACUAUCCAAUAAUUAGUGAUCCCAAAAGAGAAAUCAUCAAGCAACUCAACAUGGUAGAUC